rnacentral:rRNA from 1 species
AUGGUUAAGUUAGAAAGGGCGCACGGUGAAUGCCUUGGCACUAGGAGCCGAUGAAGGACGGGACUAACACCGAUAUGCUUCGGGGAGCUGUAAGUGAGCUUUGAUCCGGAGAUUUCCGAAUGGGGAAACCCACUGUUCGUAAUGG